rnacentral:rRNA from 1 species
CUACGGGGUGCUCCAGUGGGGAAUAUUGGACAAUGGGGGAAACCCUGAUCCAGCAAUGCCGCGUGUGUGAAGAAGGCCUGCAGGUUGUAAAGCACUUUCGGUUGGGAGGACUGCUUCUGGCACUAAUAUUGUUGGAAGUUGACGUUACCUUCAGAAGAAGCACCGGCUAACUCCGUGCCAGCAGCCGCGGUAAUACGGAGGGUGCAAGCGUUAAUCGGAAUUACUGGGCGUAAAGCGCGCGUAGGCGGCUAGAUCAGUCGGGUGUGAAAGCCCCGGGCUUAACCUGGGAACUGCAUCCGAUACUGUCUAGCUUGAGUACAGGAGAGGAGAGUGGAAUUCCACAUGUAGCGGUGAAAUGCGUAGAUAUGUGGAGGAACACCAAUGGCGAAGGCAGCUCUCUGGCCUGAUACUGACGCUGAGGUGCGAAAGCGUGGGGAGCGAACAGGAUUAGAUACCCUAGUAGUC